AGAGGGAGAGAGAGAGAGGGCGGGGUAGAAAGGGUGGGAGGGAAUGUUCGAUUCAAAAAUGAAGAGAAU